AUGAAGAUUGCAUGGUUGAAGGGUGACUUCAGUUUGCUAAGCAGCAGCUUCUCCUGGCAUGAGCCACUGCAGAUCUCCUCAUCAGACGGGCUGAGACUAUCCUGUGUGCCCUGCACUUGGAGUAAGGAGAACACAGCAAGGUUGGUCCAACAGCCUUCCUGGAGUAUGACUCAGAAAAAGAAGGACCACAGCACCACACUGGCAAGAGGUAACUUGAACCAUAAUUUUACCUUUCCCACCAUCACCUCUAUGAUGUGGGCCAGUAACUUAAUCUCUCUAAACAAACUGUUUCCUGGCACCUGAAGUGAAGAGUUAUUUCGAAAUGCCUUUUAAAUACUGAUUGAGUUUGACAGCGAAGCACAACUGUGAGCGGAGGGCAAGGUGAUAGCUCUGAACUAAUUCUCUACGAGAUAAUUUGCCGAAAGUAAAUUCAACACAGUGCACAUUCACCACAUUCCUUUCUUCUUUUCAGUAUUUACAAAGUUUACAGCAGUGUGUACUGAAUGUGCUGGUUUUCGCCACUUUUGAAGAUUCCUGUAAGGAUUUAGCUGAGAGUUUUCCAAUCGCUAACAGCAUUUGAAAGAACACCCCGUUUGUCUUUGUCUUGGCCCCCACCAUUGUACAGAGGGAGUAUCCCGUGAUAAGGGGCGAUGGAGAGGUGAUAGUCCACAGCCACAAAGGAUGGCAACAGAGACGUGACGGUAUCACAAGGAUUCUCCUAGUUGAAGACAAAUGUUAGAUUCAGUAUUUAAAUAUAUUAGGUUGAUUAACUGUUUUUGAGAACUGUUUCAUGGAAUUAGCCUGUUGACAUGGUCCUUCCCCUUAGGGAUGUAGGGAUGUAUGAUGUAUUUAUUCAUUCAUUUACUCAUCUGUGCCAGUCUUAGUUAUGGCAUUGUGACAUCUUUAGUUGCAGCAUUCAAACUCUUUUUUGUGGCAUGUGGGAUCUAGUUUCCUGACCAGGGAUCAAACCCAGGCCCCCUGCAUUGGGAGCACGGAGUCCACCACUGGGCCGCCAGGGAAGUCCCCCUCUUAGAGAUCUUAUAGUUCAAUGGAGGUAAAACAUCUAAAACUAAAACAGAAAGUAAAUAAAUAAUACAGUUACAAAUUGGGGAAAGCAUUAUGGACAACAAAAGGGAUGCUAAGGCAGUGGAGAGUGAGAAACUGCUUCAUGGAGUGGUCACAGAGGGUGUAAGAGUCAAGAGAGCGGUUCCCCUCCCUCUCCAGGCACACGAUAGGACUGCAUCGCCUUAGUCUGCCCGCGGUUCCAUGGACCAUGGGAUCUGGUCUGGCUCAUCAGUUGUGCACAGAAAUAUGUGUCACUUCCAUAUCGGAGCAUCUAAGUGUUGCUUCUGUAGACCCCUUUCCCUGAGGCAGUCUAAUAAGUGUUGUGUUCCAAGAUGUGGUUGCUCCCUUAGCCUGGAUCUUGUGUGACUUCAAGGAACAGAGUUCCUUCAACCAACUCACACUGGCCGUGUAGCAUGUAGCGUGAGGAAACAACUGACUGUAUUGUCUUAAGCCACUGAGAUGUGGAAGUCGUUUGUUAGCAUAGCUUAAGGAAAACAAUCCUGCCUAUUACAAACGGCAUCUCUGAAGAGCCAGAGGGAUGAUUUACAGAUGCUUUAAGACAGAAGGCCUUGAACUUGGCUAGUUCACAGAAUUAAAUGAAAGCCAGUAUGGCUGGAUUAGAGUAAAUCAGGAAAAAAUAGCAAAUAAUCUUUAGUUUCUACUCUAUCAACUCUUGCCUGUUCUGGUUCUAAGGCUGUUCUUGUAUUUAUAUUCCUGGCAAGGCUUUAAGAUAGAUCAAGUAGCUUGAGUCUAAAUGCUUUUGAUUUGCUUACACAAAUCAAACUCUCAUACUUUAUCUUUCGCUUCUGGAUUAUGAUAAUUUUUAUCAAGAACUUGGCAUGUGGGUGAUUGAUAUGAUAGUACAAUCCUAAUGCAGUCCCUGAAGCUGAGGGCCUCUACCCUUUCAGUCAGUGCUGAGAUGCACUUGGGUGUGUAGGCCAUUCAAAACUGAGCUGUGACUUGGGAUGGGCAGCCCACAGCACUCUGCAUUUGAAAAUGUGUAAUAUCGUACAGUUUUUAAGGUCUCAGUUUUCAUAUCCAUUUCUAAUAUUCCAGCAACAGAAUCUAGGGAAAAGCCCACAUUUUCAGGUGCCUCGUCAUAGCCCAUUUAAUGUAUAUGUAGGAGAGAUUGUCUUUUGCACUGAAGAGCUUGUUUGAAACCAAAACAAGAACCCCUUAGCAAAAAGCAAAUUGCAUGAGAUGCAGUUUAUCUUCCUUGGAAGAAAAGACGAGCUGAGUCAACCCUCCUGGGGUUUGACAACUAAGGUAUUUCUUUAUCCUUGACACUGCUCAGAUAGAGCCACUGACAUUAUAACUGCCUUUAUUGAAGUUUGGUCGAUUUAGAGGAAGUACAUCCAUCUUAUAUUACAGUCAUUCUUGUACAGUCCUUACAGUCUUAAGGAUUUUUUAUUGAGGUGAAUGAAAUCCUGCUUAAGAAAAAAUCAGAGGAGGGAAGGGAAAUGGAUCUAGAAUAAAAACAGGGUCCUAAUAUAGUCCAAUCUCAGUGCCGAUUGCUUUCAUAUAUAGUAUUACUAUCCCCAUACCGUGGAGGAAGUAACCUAGAAAGGUUGUGAUCACCCAGCCAGUGACUGGCAGACCAAAGAAGGAACAGUCUUCUCCCUCCCAAGGCCCUUCUAUUUAUCUCUGCCACUAGAGAGGAAAAGUCUAGAAUGCAAAAGUCUCCCUAUACCAUCACCAUGGUUAAAUAUAAAAUGGCCAUGUCCUGCAUUUCUGUAAUCUCCAGAGUUGUCCUCUAAAAGAUAAAUACAGAUCACUCUCAACUUAUUACAUAUCUGGAAGAGCCUUGGUUUAUUUCUUAUGUUUACAUAUCUAAACAGAGCUGGUUGUAAUAAGCUGUGCUCCGCUAAUUGUACAUCUUCCCUUUGUUUCACCUUAUCCUGUAUAAUUAGUGCCGUCUUGAAAAUAGAAGUUUUCCAUGACAUUAAAAUUCUUACACAGCACACCCUCUAAUUAUUUCAUAUCUUCACAUUAGGGACUAAGAUACUUGUGGUGGAGGGGGUAAUUCUGUUUGUUAUUUAAUUAGUUAUAGAGGAGUUCAGGAAAAAGAGAUUAUUAAAAUAAUUUCUACUUGACUCUGAGAUUUUUUCUCAUUGCCUACUCCCUCCUGACUUCAAACCUCAUCAUUUUUGGUACCAGAGUCAGUUAUGCCUGUUAGGAUCUCCUUCUAUUAAAAAGUUACCUCUUCUUCAAGAUCUACCCAAAAUCCCCUUCUUUGCAGGUCUUUCCAGAUAUCCAUCAUUAAAAUUAAGCUUCGUCUUCCAUACUCUAGGAUACUAAUCCUAUAGAAUCUCUCUGUUUUGUAUUAUAGGGAUAGAAAUAGGGCAGAGAUGGCUGGUAACUUACUCAAAUAUAUUUCCUCUCUUUUUCUUGGGCAUAUAACUCAGCAGUAUGUCCUUGCCUGCCUUAGAGUUGGGUGUGAUCAGAUGAUGAAUUUCUCACAAUGGAAAACAAAUGAAGUGACAUGUUUCCUUUUGGGGCCAGAAUUUUUAGGAGGUAGGUUGCUCCAUGCCCGCCCUCCCCUGUUGACAUCUGCAUGAGAAAAGUCUGAUGCCCUCAAGGAUGGAGCAAGUCAGAGCUCUUAAAUCACUAGGUAGAAAGCUGUCUGGCCAAACAGGAAUAGCGUCACUAGGUUGAAUGAGAACCGCCUAUUGUGUUAAGGCUGGAAAUUUAGAGUUUGUUAUAGCAGCUGGUGUGGACUUACCUAAUACAAUGUGUGCACAUUUGUGCAUAUCUUUGUGACUCCCUCUAUUUCAGAAGCCCCAAAUGACGGGAACAACAACAACCAAAAAAUCACCCCUUACUGGGAGUCUUAUUUGGAAAUGAAGCAGAUGGUCAUCAAAAUGAAGAAUGGAGGGUCUCUAAAUCAUGUCUAGUAUUGGGAAUGCCAUUUUCUCAUUGGCAAGCAACCGACUAGAAUUUUGAAAAUAAUCUCAUAGGCAACUAACUUAGGGUAGAGAAUGAAAGGGAUACCCAGUUAGUUUCCAUAUUAAAAUGUGUCCUAGUUCAUUACUCAUUCAAAUAUUCGUCAUUCUUUCAAUCAGCAAGUAGAUACUGGACAUAUUCUACAUGCCAGGCAGUCCGAUAACAGUACUGAUCAAUCACAGAUCUAGUCCCAGCUCACUCCAAAUAUAUACUCCACCUAUCCAGCAAGUCAUCAGACUACCAAAGGUACAUUCAGCUUCUCACCCAGGUUUUCAGGUUCUUCAUCUAUAAAAGUAAAGAAUAAUAUUAUCUACUUCACAAUUGUGUUGUAUUUUUAAUGAGAUAAUGAUCUAAAUAUAAUGAUUAUAAAAUUUUUAGCACUGUGCUUCACACUUGGAACUUGAUCAGCACUCAGUAAAUCCUAGCUAUUAUUAUUCUUAUUAAUUUAAAUUAAUUUCAUAAGAUUGUACAACAACAACAAAAAAUCUGCCUGAAAGAGACUACGUGAAAUAUAAUUUCCCCUUUGUAGUGACUUCUGAUAUGAGAGUUGAGGGAUUGGGAAUAAUGUCCCACAUUAAAACAAACAAACAAACAAACAGUAUAUGCAAAGGACCAGUGAUAUGAGGAAGCAUUUUUUGGGAACUGAGAAAGUAAGAAUAGAGGAGUAGAGAGAUCAAGGAGGAAAAUGAGGCAGGAUGAGACCAUGCAGAGCCUUGGGACCGCCAUGUAGCCAUGCUAAGAAUUUGGCCUUCUUCCUAGUGCAAGAGAAAGUCACUGAAUGGUCUCAAACACGUAGUGGCAACGAAUAUGAUCAUCUUUGUUUUUUUUUUAGAAAAAUCACUAUGGCUGGAAUGCAUAGGCAAACCACUU
ensembl:lncRNA